rnacentral:rRNA from 1 species
AGUGAACGCUGGCGGCAGGCCUAAUACAUGCAAGUCGAACGGCAGCACAGCAGAGCUUGCUCUGUGGGUGGCGAGUGGCGGACGGGUGAGGAAUACAUGGGAAUCUGCCCAGUCGUGGGGGAUAACGUAGGGAAACUUACGCUAAUACCGCAUGCGCCCUUCGGGGGAAAGCCGGGGACCUUCGGGCCUGGCGCGAUUGGAUGAGCCCAUGUCGGAUUAGCUAGUUGGCGGGGUAAUGGCCCACCAAGGCGACGAUCCGUAGCUGGUCUGAGAGGAUGAUCAGCCACACUGGAACUGAGACACGGUCCAGACUCCUACGGGAGGCAGCAGUAGGGAAUAUUGGACAAUGGGCGCAAGCCUGAUCCAGCCAUGCCGCGUGAGUGAAGAAGGCCCUCGGGUUGUAAAGCUCUUUUGUCCGGAAAGAAAGCGCCGGGUUAAUACCCUGGUGUCCUGACGGUACCGGAAGAAUAAGCACCGGCUAACUUCGUGCCAGCACG